rnacentral:rRNA from 1 species
GUUAGGAAUCUUCGGCAAUGGGCGCAAGCCUGACCGAGCGACACUGCGUGAAGGAUGAAGGUCUUCGGAUCGUAAACUUCUGAACCUGCGACGACACUGACGGUAGCAGGCUAAUAGCACCGGCUAACUCCGUGCCAGCAGCCGCGGUAAUACGGAGGGUGCGAGCGUUAUCCGGAAUCACUGGGCGUAAAGGGCGCGUAGGCGGUUUGUUAAGUCCGAUGUUAAAGACCGAGGCUCAACCUCGACACGGCGUUGGAUACUGGCAAGCUUGACGGUUGGAGAGGAAGGUAGAAUUACCAGUGUAGCGGUGGAAUGCGUAGAUACUGGUAGGAAUACCCAUAGCGAAGGCAGCCUUCUGGACAACACGUGACGCUGAGGCGCGAAAGUGUGGGGAGCAAACCGGAUUAGAUACCCUAGUAGUCC